rnacentral:rRNA from 1 species
UACAGAGGUCUCAAGCGUUGUCCGGAUUCAUUGGGCGUAAAGGGCGCGUAGGCUGCGGGGCAAGUCGGGUGUGAAAUCUCAGAGCUCAACUCUGAAACUGCACUCGAUACUGCUUUGCUCGAGGACUGGAGAGGAGAUUGGAAUUCACGGUGUAGCAGUGAAAUGCGUAGAUGUCGUGAGGAAGACCAGUGGCGAAGGCGGAUCUCUGGACAGUUCCUGACGCUGAGGCGCGAAGGCCAGGGGAGCAAACGGG